rnacentral:misc_RNA from 1 species
GAAAUGCGAUAAGUAAUGUGAAUUGCAGAAUUCCGUGAAUCAUCGAAUCUUUGAACGCACAUUGCGCCCUCUGGUAUUCCGGGGGGCAUGCCUGUCCGAGCGUCAUUGCGAACCCCUCAAGCACGGCUUGUGUGAUGGGCCCUCCCGCGUCUUGGUCGUCAAGACGGGCCCGAAAUGCAGUGGCGGCUUCGCGGUUAUCCGAUCAGCCAGAGCGUAUGGGGACUUUCUCUCUGUCACACGCCCGCGGCGCGGAUCGACGCCUGUCGACCUUCAUUCAUCGUUUUCUCGGUUGACCUCGGAUCAGGUAGGGAUACCCGCUGAACUUAAGC